UACGGAGGGGGUUAGCGUUGUUCGGAAUGACUGGGCGUAAAGCGCGCGUAGGCGGAUCAGGAAGUUGGGGGUGAAAUCCCGGGGCUCAACCCCGGAAUGGCCUUCAAAACUCCUGGUCUUGAGUUCGAGAGAGGUGAGUGGAAUUCCGAGUGUAGAGGUGAAAUUCGUAGAUAUUGGGAAGAACACCGGUGGCGAAAGCGCGCGACUGGACCUGAACUGACACUGAGGGACGAAAGCUAGGGGAGCGAAAGGG
rnacentral:rRNA from 1 species